rnacentral:rRNA from 1 species
CGGAGGAUCCAAGCGUUAUCCGGAAUCAUUGGGUUUAAAGGGUCCGUAGGCGGUUUAAUAAGUCAGUGGUGAAAUCUGGUCGCUCAACGAUCAAACGGCCAUUGAUACUGUUAGACUUGAAUUAUUGGGAAGUAACUAGAAUAUGUAGUGUAGCGGUGAAAUGCUUAGAUAUUACAUGGAAUACCAAUUGCGAAGGCAGGUUACUACCAAUGGAUUGACGCUGAUGGACGAAAGCGUGGGGAGCGAACAGGAUUAGAUACCCUGGUAGUCCACGCCGUAAACGAUGGAUACUAGCUGUUCGGAGCAAUCUGAGUGGCUAAGCGAAAGUGAUAAGUAUCCCACCUGGGAAGUACGUUCGCAAGAAUG